rnacentral:rRNA from 1 species
AUUGAACGCUGGCGGCCGGCCUAACACAUGCAAGUCGAGAGGAGCGGCGGACGGGUGAGUAAUGCCUAGGAAUCUGCCUGGUAGUGGGGGAUAACGUCCGGAAACGGGCGCUAAUACCGCAUACUCUCAGCUGAGCCUAGGUCGGAGUAUCUAGUUGGUGGGGUAAAGUCCUACCGAGGCGACGAUCCGUAACUGGUCUGAGAGGAUGAUCAGUCACACUGGAACAGAGACAGAGUCCAGACUCCUACGGGAGGCAGCAGUGGGGAAGAUUGGAAAAUGGGCGAAAGCAUGAUACAGCCAUGCCGCGUGUGUGAAGAAGGUCUUCGGAUUGUAAAGAACUUUAAGUUGGGAGGCGUUACCAACAGAAUAAGCACCGGCUAACUUCGUGCCAGCCGCCGCGGUAAUAC